UUUGACUCCUCGUCUUAUUUAAAUUUUUUUUACAAUUAAUAUUUUUGUUUUUAUUAGAUGAUAAAUCAUAAAUAGUAUUUUACGUGUGAUUAAUUUUUUUCUAGUUUUUUAAAAAUUUUCAAAUAAGACGGAUGAUCAAA
rnacentral:pre_miRNA from 1 species